GCUAAUUUGGCAGAAAAGUGUUUUAAACUUAGAAUUUAAUAAUGUAUAAUAUACAGUUAGUA
rnacentral:tRNA from 3 species